rnacentral:rRNA from 1 species
UACGGGGGGGGCAAGCGUUGUUCGGAAUUACUGGGCGUAAAGGGCGCGUAGGCGGCCCGCUAAGUCGAACGUGAAAUCCCCAGGCUCAACCUGGGAACUGCGUCCGAUACUGGCAGGCUUGAAUCCGGGAGAGGGAUGUGGAAUUCCAGGUGUAGCGGUGAAAUGCGUAGAUAUCUGGAGGAACACCGGUGGCGAAGGCGGCGUCCUGGACCAACACUGACACUGAGGAGCGAAAGCCAGGGGAGCAAACGGG